rnacentral:rRNA from 1 species
GACGAACGCUGGCGGCGUGCUUAACACAUGCCAGUCGAGCGGAAAGGCCCUGCUUGCAGGGUGCUCGAGUGGCGAACGGGUGAGUAACACGUGGGUGAUCUGCCCCUUACUUUGGGAUAAGCCUGGGAAACUGGGUCUAAUACUGGAUAGGACCAUGCUGUAGGUGGUGUGGUGGAAAGAUUUUUUCGGUAAGGGAUGAGCUCGCGGCCUAUCAGCUUGUUGGUGGGGUAAUGGCCUACCAAGGCGUCGACGGGUAGCCGGCCUGAGAGGGUGGACGGCCACAUUGGGACUGAGAUACGGCCCAGACUCCUACGGGAGGCAGCAGUGGGGAAUAUUGCACAAUGGGCGCAAGCCUGAUGCAGCGACGCCGCGUGGGGGAUGACGGCCUUCGGGUUGUAAACUCCUUUCAGCCAUGACGAAGCCUCUUUUGGGGUGACGGUAGUGGUAGAAGAAGCACCGGCUAACUACGUG